rnacentral:rRNA from 1 species
AUUGAACGCUGGCGGCAGGCCUAACACAUGCAAGUCGAACGAGUGGCGGACGGGUGAGUAAUGUCUGGGAAACUGCCUGAUGGAGGGGGAUAACUACUGGAAACGGUAGCUAAUACCGCAUACCAUCGGAUGUGCCCAGAUGGGAUUAGCUAGUAGGUGGGGUAACGGCUCACCUAGGCGACGAUCCCUAGCUGGUCGGAGAGGAUGACCAGCCACAAUGGAUCUGAGACACGGUCAAGUCUACAACGGGAGGCGGCAGUGGGGAAAAUUGCACAAUGGACGGAAGCCUGGUGCAGCCAUGCCGAGUGUAUGAAGAAGGCCUGCGGGUUGUAAAGUAAUUUCAGCGGGGAGGCGUUACCCGCAGAAGAAGCAUCGGCUAACUCCGUGCCAGCCGCCGCGGUAAUAC